CAGCAGCCGCGGUAAAACGGAGGGUGCAAGCGUUAAUCGGAAUUACUGGGCGUAAAGCGCACGCAGGCGGUCUGACAAGUCAGAUGUGAAAUCCCCGGGCUUAACCUGGGAACUGCAUUUGAAACUGUCAGGCUGGAGUCUUGUAGAGGGGGGUGGAAUUCCAGGUGUAGCGGUGAAAUGCGUAGAGAUCUGGAGGAAUACCGGUGGCGAAGGCGGCCCCCUGGACAAAGACUGACGCUCAGGUGCGAAAGCGUGGGGAGCAAACAGGAUUAGAUACACCAGUAGUCCCUGUCUCUUAUAC
rnacentral:rRNA from 1 species